rnacentral:tRNA from 1 species
GGUAAGAUGGCCGAGCAAGGCAGUGGGUUGUAGCCCCGAGCAUAGAGGUUCGAGUCCUCUUCUUAUCA